rnacentral:rRNA from 1 species
GACGAACGCUGGCGGCGUGCUUAACACAUGCAAGUCGAACGAUGAAGAAAAGAAUCGAAGCUUCGGCAGAAAUUCAUUUCGGAUUAGUGGCAGACGGGUGAGUAACGCGUGAGCAACCUACCUCUUACAAAGGGAUAGCCUCGGGAAACCGGGAUUAAUACCAUAUAACAUUGUGACGAAGCAUUUCGAUGCAAUCAAAGCUACGGCGGUAAGAGAUGGGCUCGCGUCCCAUUAACCGGAUGGUGAGGUAACGGCUCACCAUAGUGACGAUGGGUAACCGGCCUGAGAGGGGGAACGGUCACACUGGAACUGAGACACGGUCCAGACUCCUACGGGAGGCAGCAGUGGGGAAUAUUGCACAAUGGAGGGAACUCUGAUGCAGCGACGCCGCGUGAGUGAUGAAGGAAUUCGUUUCGUAAAACUCUGUUCUAUGGGAAGAAAAGGACUGUACCAUAGGAGAAAGCACCGGCUAAAUACGUG